AUUGAACGCUGGCGGCAUGCUUUACACAUGCAAGUCGAACGGUAACAGGGUGCUUGCACCGCUGACGAGUGGCGAACGGGUGAGUAAUGCGUCGGAACGUGCCGAGUAGUGGGGGAUAACGCAGCGAAAGUUGUGCUAAUACCGCAUACGUACUGAGGUAGAAAGUGGGGGACCUUCGGGCCUCACGCUAUUCGAGCGGCCGACGUCUGAUUAGCUAGUAGGUGGGGUAAAGGCUCACCAAGGCGACGAUCAGUAGCGGGUCUGAGAGGAUGAUGCGCCACACUGGGACUGAGACACGUCGCAGACUCCUGCGGUAGGCAGCGGUAGGGAAUUUUGGACAAUGGGCGAAAGCCUGAUCCAGCCAUGCCGCGUGUCUGAAGAAGGCCUUCGGGUUGUAAAGGACUUGUGUCAGGGAGGAAAUCCCUAGUGCUAAUAAAACUGGGGGAUGACAGUACCUGAAGAAUAAGCACCGGCUAACUACGUGCCAGCAGCCGCCGUAA
rnacentral:rRNA from 1 species